CUUGCGGACAUAUCACCUUGAAAUACCGAUUACCAUACAAUCACCGAAGUUACGCAACGUCGAGCCUGGUCAGUACCUAAAUGGGUGACCGCUUGGGAAUACCAUGUGCUGUUA